AUGGAUCUCGUUCUGUCACCAGGCUGGAGUGCAGUGGUGUGACCUUGGCUCACUGAAACCCCACCUCCUGGUUCAAGCUAUUCUCCUGCCUCAGCCUCCCAAGUAGCUGGGAUUACAGGUGUACACCACCAUGCCCAGGUCCACAGCCAAGGGAGGUGCAAGUGUGUGUCCACAAAGAGACUUUUGUGUGUUCAUUCCCAAUCUGGAAAUGACACAGCUGCCCACUGACGGAAGACAAGAUAGACAAAUUCAGAAGCGGAGAGGACCAUUAGCCAGCAGUGGAAGGCAGACGGCGGCGGCUUCAGCUGGGGAAGGCACAGGGGACGCAGGACGGAUCGCUUGGUGGACUCGUGCGCAAGAACUCGAGGCAAUGCGGCUGGACUGUGGUGAAGACAGAGCUCCAGGAAGGUCAGGGCUGCCUGGAUGGGUGACUGGGAGUCAAGGGGAACCUGGGAGAUGGUGGCUCCCAUGAAGGAGACAGAGAGGAGCUUCCUAGCUGUGCAGGAGAAGCUGAGGCAUACAGUGUGCUGCUGUGGCUUCAGGGCCCGUGGGCAGUGGUCUGGUGGCUGCCUCUCACUCCCCACCCCCAGACACCUCCUCAGCCACAGGGAGAGGGAUAGAUUCUACUGCCGUGUCAAUGGCUCCACUGCCUGGCCUGACUCUUCGGUGGCACUGCCAGAGUCCAGAGUCCUCUGGGUGUGUGCUCAUGCUCGGAUGCAUAGCUGGGAGCCUGAGAAUUAAGUGGCGUGCAGCCAGGGCUACUCAGCUCAGGUCCCGGGUGGUCCUGUGGAGAGACUGUGACUCACCGGCCACUGGGGUGACUCAGGGGCCAAGGCUGUGCAUUGUCAUCACUGCCAUGAAACCUCUGACGCUGCUCGGCCAUGCUGUUGGAAGACUCCAGUGCGUCAGACUGAAAGAACUCACCUGGAGUUCAGGCACUCUGGAUUUGGGUUUUCCUCUGUAGUCAGAGCAAAGGAAUGAUAGCUUCAAAGAAGGCAGCAUGACUAGAGUUUGACAUUAUUUAGUGGGAAUUGGAGCACUGGUGAAGGCUUUGAGCCAGGAGUGGGCUGAGCGAGUGUGGCUUGUAGGGUCGGUGUCUGCAGCUGGGAACGGUGGUGCAGAGCAGUGGGAGUAGGUGGCAUCACUGGCCGGGGCAAGACCUGCACUGAG
ensembl:lincRNA